UACGAAGGGGGCUAGCGUUGCUCGGAUUGACUGGGCGUAAAGGGCGCGUAGGCGGCGGACACAGUACAGACGUGAAAUUCCUGGGCUCAACCUGGGGGCUGCGUUUGAUACAUGUCUGCUUGAGUUCGGAAGAGGGUCGUGGAAUUCCCAGUGUAGAGGUGAAAUUCGUAGAUAUUGGGAAGAACACCGGUGGCGAAGGCGGCGGACCUGGUCCGAUACUGACGCUGAGGCGCGAAAGCGUGGGGAUCAAACAGG
rnacentral:rRNA from 1 species